GAUAUUUCCUGCUCAGUGAUAAACAGCUGUAGUAUUCUGACUAUACAAAGGUAGCAUAAUCAGUUGUCUUUUAAUUGGAGACUGGGAUGAAAGGUAAAACUGAGGGGAUGGUUUUAUAUAUUGAAUUUGAAUUAGAGAUAAAAAUGACUUUAUUAGAUCUUGGGACGAGAAGACCCUAGAAGCUUUAAAUAUCUUUUGGUUGGGGCGACUAGGGAAUAAUUUAACUUUCAUAAGUUACUCUAGGGAUAACAGCGUUAUUGAAUAAAAGAGUCCUUAUUGAAUAUUCAGAUUGCGACCUCGAUGUUGAAUUAAGAGGUGUAGGAGCUUUAGUCUGUUCGACUAAUAGUAGCUUACA
rnacentral:rRNA from 1 species